rnacentral:rRNA from 1 species
UACGUAGGGUGCGAGCGUUGUCCGGAAUUAUUGGGCGUAAAGAGCUUGUAGGCGGUUUGUCGCGUCUGCCGUGAAAUUUCGAGGCUCAACCUCGGGUCUGCAGUCGAUACGAGCAAACUAGAGUGUUGCAGGGGAGACUGGAAUUCCUGGUGUAGCGGUGAAAUGCGCAGAUAUCGGGAGGAACACCGGUGGCGAAGGCGGGUCUCUGGGCAACAACUGACGCUGAGGAGCGAAAGCGUGGGGAGCGAACAGG